AUUCAGUCCGGCGUUGCGGACGUGAGAGACCGGAAAACCAGCAGGGCUUCCCUGAACGGGGGCCGUCCGGUUCCACGCCACCCCGUCGCGCCUGACUUACUUGUCUCUCGUCCGAAGGACGCCGCAGCCGGUUGGGUAGCGCAAGCGCGACGGCCUGAAGGACGGACAAUGGCAGGUGGCCGGUGGCGUGCUUCGGCGCGUCGCCGGUUGUUAGCCGUCACGUCAGUGGCUCGUCACCCGACCGUGGUGUCGCGAGGCCCUAACGGGCCUCUCCGUCUCCUCCCUCGCCGAAAGCGGUAGAGCGCUGCAGUUGGCUUGCGCCGUCCCGUUCGCACCCCGCCGGGGUGGUCGGGCGAGCGUCGGCUUCCGAUCGCGGCGCCGAGGCCGUCGGGGGCUGGAGGCUCGCGGCGAGUAGGUCGGUCACCCACCCGACCCGUCUUGAAACACGGACCAAGGAGUCUAACAUGUGCGCGAGUCAAUGGGUCUUGAACAGGCCCAGAGGCGCAAUGAAAGCGAAGGUCGGCGGACGCCGACCGAGUUGGGAUCCCCGGUCUAGGCCGGGGCGCACCAACGACCCGUCCUCUCCGGUUCGCCGGUUGGGCGGAGUGUGAGCGUACACGUUGGGACCCGAAAGAUGGUGAACUAUGCCCGGACAGGACGAGGCCAGAGGAAACUCUGGUGGAGGUCCGUAGCGGUUCUGACGUGCAAAU
rnacentral:rRNA from 1 species